rnacentral:lncRNA from 10 species
UGAGGGACUUGAGUGAGGAUUGAGAUAGACUGACUUUGCGUUGAUAAUUCUUGAAGCUAGUGAUGAAUACAUGAGGGCUCCUUAUAUAAUUUGUUUUUGGUUUUUGAGACAAGAGUCUCACUCUGUCACCCAGGCUAAGAGUGCAGUGGUGUGACCUCCCAGGGUCAGGUGAUCCUCCCACCUCAGCCUCUGGGUAUCUGGGUAGCUGGGACUACAGGCUAUGCUACCAAACCUGGCUAAUUUUUUUUUUUUUAAUUCUUUGUAGGGACGGAGUUUCCGCACAUUGCCUAGGCUGGUCUAGAACUCCUAGAUUCAAGUGAUUCUCCCAC